UUAAUCUCUCCUUGUGUUAGUUUUUCUCUAAGUAUUUUGUAUUUGAAGUAUUUUGUUUUUUGUAACAAACCAUUGAAAAAUGACUUCACACAAGAGUUGGUCAUUUUGGAAUUGUAAAAAUAAUAGCAGGAAAAAUCUGGAAUUAACAUUUCAUAAAUUUCCCACAAAUGAUAAAUUCAACAGCAAUUACAUAUAAUAUAAUAUGUAACAUUUAUUAAAAAAUACUAAGGAUUCUAUAUAAAUAGUCUGUUCCUGGAAAAACUUCAUUAGCUCAACCUAUAGAAUUUUUGACAUCAUUGAAGAAACUGGAAACAUCAUCUGCAUCUAAUGUGUAUAGUGAUGACAAUGUUUCAAUCGCAACAGUAGAUAAAGUACUAAGAUGGAGUCCAAUAAACCCAGGGUUGAAUACUUGAAUAUAAGUUAUUACAUUCAAUUAAAGAAACAAUUCUACAUAUAUUUAUAUUGUUAGUAUUAUUAAAUUUAAAUAAGUAGGUAUAAAUGAAAAUAUUGAUGUACAGACUCAGAAGCUUGGAUCAAUUGAGUAUAAUUAUAAAAAUAUUUUUAUCCCAACCGUGGAUCUUGUGCUAGGAUGGAGUCCAAAAAUGGCAAGCUGUAAAUCUGAAAGCAAUAUGUAUAGAAUUCCAGCACAUAAACCUAGAUCAGCAAUCUCCAAACUACGGCCCUCAAACAAAUUUUAACCGGCCUGCAGCCCCCAUAGGAUAGUAAAUAUAUAAGGAGAUAUCUAACAUUUAAAAAUUAAAAAUUGUAUGUGUUAUAAUAUAUGUUUAAACUUUUGGCCCGCUAAAAGAUGAUGAUAUUUUU